AUUGAACGCUGGCGGCAGGCCUAACACAUGCAAGUCGAACGAGUGGCGGACGGGUGAGUAAUGUCUGGGAAACUGCCCGAUGGAGGGGGAUAACUACUGGAAACGGUAGCUAAUACCGCAUACCAUCGGAUUUGCCCAGAUGGGAUUAGCUAGUAGGUGGGGUAACGGCUCACCUAGGCGACGAUCCCUAGCUGGUCUGAGAGGAUGACCAGCCAAACUGGAACUGAGACACGGUCCAGACGCCGACGGGAGGCAGCAGGGGGGAAUAUUGCACAAGGGGCGCAAGCCUGAUGCAGCCACGCCGCGUGUAGGAAGAAGGCUUUCGGGUGGUAAAGGACUGUCAGCGAGGAGGCGUUACUCGCAGAAGAAGCACCGGCUAACUCCGUGCCAGCCGCGGCGGUAAUUC
rnacentral:rRNA from 1 species